UACGAAGGGUGCAAGCGUUACUCGGAAUUACUGGGCGUAAAGGGUGCGUAGGUGGUCGUUUAAGUCCGUUGUGAAAUCCCUGGGCUCAACCUGGGAAUGGCAGUGGAUACUGGACGGCUAGAAUGCGGUAGAGGGUAGUGGAAUUCCUGGUGUAGCGGUGAAAUGCGUAGAGAUCGGAAAGAACACCAACGGCGAAAGCACUCUGCUGGGCCGACACUGACACUGAGAGACGAAAGCUAGGGGAGCGAAUGGG
rnacentral:rRNA from 1 species